GAGUUUGAUCAUGGCUCAGGAUGAACGCUAGCGGCACGCUUCAUACAUGCAAGUCGAGGGGCAGCAUAAAGUACUUGUACUUUGAUGGCGACCGGCGAACGGGUGCGUAACGCGUAUGCAACUUACCUUUUACUAGAGAAUAGCCAAGAGAAAUUUUGAUUAAUGCUCUAUACUCUUAUUAACUCACAUGAGUUUUUAAGAAAAGCUCCGGCGGUAAAAGAUGGGCAUGCGUCCUAUUGGCUUGUAGGUGAGGUAACGGCUCACCUAAGCUCCGAUAGGUAGGGGUCCUGAGAGGGAGAUCCCCCACACUGGUACUGAGACACGGACCAGACUUCUACGGAAGGCAGCAGUAAGGAAUAUUGGACAAUGGAGGCAACUCUGAUCCAGCGAUGCCGCGUGAAGGAAGACGGCCCUAUGGGUUGUAAACUUCUUUUAUACAGGAAGAAACCUUUCCACGUGUGGAAAGCUGACGGUACUGUAAGAAUAAGGAUCGGCUAACUCCGUGCCAGCAGCCGCGGUAAUACGGAGGAUCCAAGCGUUAUCCGGAAUUAUUGGGUUUAAAGGGUCCGCAGGCUGUUUGUUAAGUCAGGGGUGAAAUCCUACCGCUCAACGGUAGAACUGCCUUUGAUACUGGCAAACUUGAGUUAUUGUGAAGUAGUUAGAAUGUGUAGUGUAGCGGUGAAAUGCAUAGAUAUUACACAGAAUACCGAUUGCGAAAGCAGAUUACUAACAAUAUACUGACGCUGAGGGACGAAAGCGUGGGUAGCGAACAGGAUUAGAUACCCUGGUAGUCCACGCCGUAAACGAUGGUCACUAGCUGUUUGAUGUACAUUGGUACAUUGAGUGGCUAAGCGAAAGUGAUAAGUGACCCACCUGGGGAGUACGCUCGCAAGAGUGAAACUCAAAGGAAUUGACGGGGGCCCGCACAAGCGGUGGAGCAUGUGGUUUAAUUCGAUGAUACGCGAGGAACCUUACCAGGACUUAAAUGUAAGUUGCAUGAUUCAGAAAUGGAUCUUUCUUCGGACUACUUACAAGGUGCUGCAUGGUUGUCGUCAGCUCGUGCCGUGAGGUGUCAGGUUAAGUCCUAUAAUGAGCGCAACCCCUAUCGUUAGUUGCCAUCAAGUAAAGUUGGGAACUCUAGCGAAACUGCCGGUGCAAACCGUGAGGAAGGUGGGGAUGACGUCAAAUCAUCACGGCCCUUACGUUCUGGGCUACACACGUGCUACAAUGGCCGGUACAGAAAGCAGCCACUAUGCGAAUAGGAGCUAAUCUUCAAAGCCGGUCUCAGUUCGGAUCGCAGUCUGCAACUCGACUGCGUGAAGCUGGAAUCGCUAGUAAUCGGAUAUCAGCCAUGAUCCGGUGAAUACGUUCCCGGGCCUUGUACACACCGCCCGUCAAGCCAUGGAAGCUGGGGGUACCUAAAGUCGGUGACCGAAAGGAGCCGCCUAGGGUAAAACUGGUAACUGGGGCUAAGUCGUAACAAGGUAACC
rnacentral:rRNA from 1 species